GACGGACGGCAGUAGUCCAGGGUCAUAUUCGUCGGACAAAGCACAGCAAUAUGGUGACGGUUAUGACGUUUCGUCGCCCUACGGUUACAAUGGUUGCGGGAAUGCUUCAAGUCUUGACUGCUUAUCGCUCAUUGUGGAGAGCAUAACCCCGACCAAGGGGAAAGCCAUCACAUCCCCGAAAAAGGCAACCUCAGACGGACUCUGCAUGGUCUGAAAGAACAAGAGGAAACCGAUUUCGACGACUUAUGGCGCUACCACUCAUGCACUCUCGCAUUUGAACGUUAUUUCGCGAUCAAAAGACAGCUAAAACAAUCAUGAUGCGGACUUCCACAACAUUUUCGUGCUCUUCUUACCAUCGUCUCCUUUUUGACUCUAUCAAUCCUUUUGAGGACUUUUCAAAUGAUACAACUUUGUUCGCAAUGCGGAAAAUGACGUCAUUCUCUUUCAAUCGAGCAUGUAUAAAGAUGAAUCACCGUGGCAACGAUUCGAUGUGUUGUAAAAUGCAUGUAACGUCUGCGUCUUGGUAAACGUCCGUACUGCAUCUUUGCAUCGAGGCCCAAGACCCGGUUGCCAUGGCAACGACAAAUUACUAUGAGGAGCAAAAAGUGGAGGACAAAAACGCUGAUUGUUGUGUGCCAAUGUUAUUGUAAGCAAUAGGACAAUAUGGCUACCAUGAUCUUGCCUUGUAAAAUGUACUUAUAUAUAAAUAUAUACAAAUAAAUAUAUAUUAUUUACCGUCUCGGGAACAUUUGAGACGCAAUAUUAUUGUGCCUCGUCAUUAAAUGUGUUUAAUAUUAAUAUGAUUAUAUAUUGUAUUGAUAAGAAAAUGUUUAAGCAAUUCGAUGUGAAUAAGUCUAUGCAUGGUUUUGAAUUCUGAUUUGCUAAAUAUGAUUUGCUCUCAGUAUUUAUUUUCGAUUCUUUUCUUCAUUCUGAUGGUGCUUAAAAUCGUGUUGUUAUGAAUGUAUUCACCCGUUGUCCACGUUUCGUGAGAAAAGACAAAGUAGUUAUUUAAUUUAUUGUAAAUUACUUCGUAAUCAGUUAAAAUCACUUAACUUUGAGCUUCCUCUUCAUAUGUAGUAAUAAUAACAACUAAUUCGAUUGACCUAUUGUGUUCAUUAAAAAGGAGAUAAAAAUGAUGUGUAAAACUGAACAAGUUUAUAUAAUAGGCCUAAAGGCCACGUCAUUAUGUGCGACAAAUAUGCUUAAUUAGUUAUAAUCAUGAUAACAUCUCUCUAUGUUGCACAAUAAGGGCUAUAUUUAUGAUAUUAAUUAAGUUGUUAUCAUUCUAAAAGCAUAUAGGCUUAUUUCAUCACACUCUUCUUGUUUUCCUUCCGUCUAUAUUCGUCAUCCAGACAAGUUACAGACGAAUAACAUGAAUCGGCUCCCAAAAUCUAAUUUUAUCCCUGCUCCGUGUACAUCAAGAUCGGUAUUUCGUUGCUCUCACCUAAUCACGUAUUACCGGUGGAUCACCGGGAGCGACGAAAUCUUAACCCAUUUUUGUUCUUGUGUAAUUCCCGCGCAAACUACCCCUAUUAAGACUGCAGUCAGCCUUGCGAAGAUGUAGACACUUCCUUCAGAGGUUGAAGACAAAGAAGAAAAUCGCAGGAAAUAAGUCAAACAAAUCUGUAAAGAAAAAGAUCGCUUUCUUUGAAAUUGAGAGUGUCUAUAAUGACGGGAGGGGGACCGUCGGUGAGUCAGAGACGGGGCGAUCCCCUUGCUCUGCGCCGUGGCGUCCCGGUGGCACCGAUGAGGAUGAAGGAGGCUUUUUCACUGUAUCCGACUCCACGGCUUCUUGUAAUACAUUGCAUCAUCUCUACUCCUAUUCUCGUUGACAGGCAAUUUUUAUUUUAAAA